GCCAGCAGCCAUAUCACUCUGUAACUCAUAACUGGCAACCCACUGAAGGUGUGAGCCUGGUCAGUACCUGAAUGGGAGACCCCCUGGGAAAACUAAGGUUGCUGCUGGAA
rnacentral:rRNA from 1 species